GCCCUCUCCGGAUUGCAUCUCGAGAGUUUCCAGUACACUACCAGCCUCCGCUAUGGGAGGGAGAGUCAAGCAGAGGCAUACCCAUUCCAUCCCUAGCUUGGGCAGUGGCUAGAGAGAGGAAGGUAAUCUGCUACAAAU